GAUGAACGCUGGCGGCGUGCCUAAAACAUGCAAGUCGAGCGAACAGACGAGGAGCUUGCUCCUCUGACGUUAGCGGCGGACGGGUGAGUAACACGUGGAUAACCUACCUAUAAGACUGGGAUAACUUCGGGAAACCGGAGCUAAUACCGGAUAAUAUAUUGAACCGCAUGGUUCAAUAGUGAAAGACGGUUUUGCUGUCACUUAUAGAUGGAUCCGCGCCGCAUUAGCUAGUUGGUAAGGUAACGGCUUACCAAGGCAACGAUGCGUAGCCGACCUGAGAGGGUGAUCGGCCACACUGGAACUGAGACACGGUCCAGACUCCUACGGGAGGCAGCAGUAGGGAAUCUUCCGCAAUGGGCGAAAGCUUGACGGAGCAACGCCGCGUGAGUGAUGAAGGUCUUCGGAUCGUAAAACUCUGUUAUUAGGGAAGAACAAAUGUGUAAGUAACUAUGCACGUCUUGACGGUACCUAAUCAGAAAGCCACGGCUAACUACGUG
rnacentral:rRNA from 1 species